rnacentral:misc_RNA from 1 species
UGCAAUCACUGCUUCUUCAUACAGCUGCCGUUCCUUAUCACUAUCACACAUAACCUCUUUCACAGCCAUUCGUAGGUCAUCUGCGUCAACUCUCUCUUCACGUGGAUUAAGAGAGAUACCCUUAUUGAAAGCCAUUCCUUUGACCAGUGCACGAAAUAGACACCGGCCAUCCCCAGUAACUUUCUGAACUGAAUAGUGCUCAACGUUUUUUGAUGCCGGUGAUCCCUUACCUAGCGACGGUCCAAUUCUCGCAAAGAACCGAUGGUUAUUGUCUGCGAAGAGGGGCACGGGACAUGAGUAAGUUUUCGAAGUUGAGAUGGAAGGAACCGGUGAAGAGACAAGCUCGAAUUGGGCGAUUCCAUGUUUGAGUUGCUCAAGGAUACUCUCGUUCCCAAGUUUCUCCGCCAUGGAAUGUUCUGAAG